GGGCCGGUAGAUCAGUUGGUAUGAUCGUCACAUUCGCAAUGUGGAGGUCCCGGGUUCGAAUCCCGGCCGGUCCA
rnacentral:tRNA from 1 species